CUGGAAUGAUGUGACUUAGCCAAAUCAGACAUUCAUGUGCUCCAUGAGACACCAAACAUUAUCUUUAAAGCUUGCUCUCAUUGCAAAACUUAAGCGUGUGGGUGGGCUUUGUUCGAUGUUGGUGACCCUCAUGUUGAAGCGCAUUUCUCUGACGAUUAACAAAGAGAAUGGUUGUUUCCUGACCAGA